GUGGGGAAUAUUGGACAAUGGGCGCAAGCCUGAUCCAGCCAUACCGCGUGGGUGAAGAAGGCCUUCGGGUUGUAAAGCCCUUUUGUUGGGAAAGAAAUCCUGUCGGUUAAUACCUGGCGGGGAUGACGGUACCCAAAGAAUAAGCACCGGCUAACUUCGUGCCAGCAGCCGCGGUAAUACGAAGGGUGCAAGCGUUACUCGGAAUUACUGGGCGUAAAGCGUGCGUAGGUGGUGGUGUAAGUCCGUUGUGAAAGCCCUGGGCUCAACCUGGGAAAUGCAGUGGAUACUGGAUCACUAGAGUGUGGUAGAGGGAUGCGGAAUUUCUGGUGUAGCAGUGAAAUGCGUAGAGAUCAUAAGGAACAUCCGUGGCGAAGGCGGCAUCCUGGGCAAACACUGACACUGAGGCACGAAAGCGUGGGGAGCAAACAGGAUUAGAUACCCGUGUAGUCC
rnacentral:rRNA from 1 species